rnacentral:ncRNA from 1 species
CUAAGUCGCGUCGGGAGAGAUCGGCCCAAUCCUUCAGUGAAGGUGGGCCGGCGCCGAAGGAGCAACCGCCCCGGAAACUCUCAGGCAAACGGACCGCGCGACAGGA